rnacentral:rRNA from 1 species
AACGAACGCUGGCGGCAUGCCUAACACAUGCAAGUCGAACGAGACCUUCGGGUCUAGUGGCGCACGGGUGCGUAACGCGUGGGAACCUGCCCUUAGGUUCGGAAUAACUCCCCGAAAGGGGUGCUAAUACCGGAUAAUGUCUUCGGACCAAAGAUUUAUCGCCUUUGGAUGGGCCCGCGUUGGAUUAGCUAGUUGGUAGGGUAAAAGCCUACCAAGGCGACGAUCCAUAGCUGGUCUGAGAGGAUGAUCAGCCACACUGAGACUGAGACACGGCCCAGACUCCUACGGGAGGCAGCAGUGGGGAAUAUGGGACAAUGGGCGAAAGCCUGAUCCAGCAAUGCCGCGUGAGUGAUGAAGGCCUUAGGGUUGUAAAGCUCUUUUACCCGGGAUGAUAAUGACAGUACCGGGAGAAUAAGCUCCGGCUAACUCCGU